CCUACGGGGGGCAGCAGUGGGGGAUAUUGCACAAUGGGGGGAACCCUGAUGCAGCGACGCCGCGUGGGUGAAGGAGCGUUUCGGCGCGUAAAGCCCUAUCGGCAGGGAAGAAGAAGGACGGUACCUGACUAAGAAGCCCCGGCUAACUACGUGCCAGCAGCCGCGGUAAUACGUAGGGGGCAAGCGUUAUCCGGAUUUACUGGGUGUAAAGGGGGCGCAGACGGCAGCGCAAGCCAGGAGUGAAAGCCCGGGGCCCAACCCCGGGACUGCUCUUGGAACUGCGCGGCUGGAGUGCAGGAGGGGCAGGCGGAAUUCCUGGUGUAGCGGUGAAAUGCGUAGAUAUCAGGAGGAACACCGGUGGCGAAGGCGGCCUGCUGGACUGCGACUGACGUUGAGGCCCGAAAGCGUGGGGAGCAAACAGGAUUAGAUACCCUAGUA
rnacentral:rRNA from 1 species